UGGGGAUCUUGCACAAUGGGGGCAACCCUGAUCUAGCAAUGCCGCGUGAGUGAUGAAGGCCUUAGGGUCGUAAAGCUCUUUCACCGGGGACGAUAAUGACUGUACCCGGUAAAGAAACCCCGGCUAACUCCGUGCCAGCAGCCGCGGUAAUA
rnacentral:rRNA from 1 species